rnacentral:rRNA from 1 species
AGCAGCCGCGGUAAUUCCAGCUCCAAUAGCGUAUAUUAAAGUUGUUGCAGUUAAAAAGCUCGUAGUUGAACUUCGGGGUUUACCCAUUGGUCAGGCUUAAUUGUCUGUACUGGUGAGAUAAAUCUCUACCUUCUGAGGAACUUUCAUGCCAUUUAUUUGGUGUGAUUGGAAAUCAGGACUAUUACUUUGAAAAAAUUAGAGUGUUUAAAGCAGGCUAACGUCUGAAUAUAUUAGCAUGGAAUAAUGAAAUAGGACGGCUUGGUUCUAUUUCGUUGGUUUCUAGGAUCACCGUAAUGAUUAAUAGGGAUAGUUGGGGGCAUUAGUAUUCAAUUGUCAGAGGUGAAAUUCUUGGAUUUAUUGAAGACUAACUACUGCGAAAGCAUUUGCCAAGGAUGUUUUCAUUAAUCAAGAACGAAAGUUAGGGGAUCGAAGACGAUCAGAUACCGUCGUAGUCUUAACCAUAAACUAUG